GAGAAUUUUGGUUUAGAGCUAAAAUAAGUUUAAUACUUCUUUAAAAAGUUAUCAUAAUUGGCUUAAGUUUAUGUUUAAUUCAUUUAAUGCAUUAAAAGCGUCUUAUUCAUUCACAAUCUCUUGUCAAACAAUGUUUAUUCUCGGACUCAUUUUCGUAAAUUUUUCUACGGCCGCCAUUGCACAUUUUUGUGUAAACUACGGAUCGGAACCGGACCAGAUAUGACAAAAAUCCGCAUUUUCACGAUAAUGACAACAGAUGGACAGUAGACAGAAAAAAUAUACCAAUAGAGAAAACUACGCAU
rnacentral:lncRNA from 1 species